rnacentral:lncRNA from 1 species
ACGACCUCUAUCUUGGCCGGAUCUACCAAAAUACCCUUCUGGUUGACGAGGUGUCCAAGGAACUGCACCUCGCGCAACCAGAACUCGCACUUAGAGAACUUUGUGAAAANCUCCGAAUCUCAGAUGGAGACCUCGGGACCUCCCACUGCAUCACGACCUCUAUCUUGGCCGGAUCUACCAAAAUACCCUUCUGGUUGACGAGGUGUCCAAGGAACUGCCCCUCGCGCAACCAGAACUCGCACUUAGAGAACUUUGUGAAAAGUUUCUCCCUCCUCAAAAUCUCCAGCACCUCCCUCGGGUGCUCCUCGUGCUGCUCCUGAGUCUUGGAAUACACCAAGAUAUCAUCUACGAAUACUAUCACAGACCGAUCCAGCAUCUGCCUGCACACACGGUUCAUGAGAUCCAUGAAUGCGGCUGGGGCGUUGGUGAGCCCAAAUGGCAUCACCACGAAAUCAUAAUGUCCAUACCUGGUCCUGAAAGCAGUCUUCUGCACAUC